AACGAACGCUGGCGGCAGGCCUAACACAUGCAAGUCGAACGCACUCUUCGGAGUGAGUGGCAGACGGGUGAGUAACACGUGGGAACCUACCCAAAGGUGCGGAAUAACACAGGGAAACUUGUGCUAAUACCGUAUGUGCCCUUCGGGGGAAAGAUUUAUCGCCUUUGGAUGGGCCCGCGUCGGAUUAGCUAGUUGGUGGGGUAAUGGCCUACCAAGGCGACGAUCCGUAGCUGGUCUGAGAGGAUGAUCAGCCACACUGGGACUGAGACACGGCCCAGACUCCUACGGGAGGCAGCAGUGGGGAAUAUUGGACAAUGGGCGCAAGCCUGAUCCAGCCAUGCCGCGUGAGUGAUGAAGGCCUUAGGGUUGUAAAGCUCUUUCAGCUGGGAAGAUAAUGACGGUACCAACAGAAGAAGCCCCGGCUAACUUCGUGCCAGCAGCCGCGGUAAUACGAAGGGGGCUAGCGUUGUUCGGAAUCACUGGGCGUAAAGCGCACGUAGGC
rnacentral:rRNA from 1 species